CCUACGUGAGGCAGCAGUGGGGAAUAUUGCACAAUGGGGGAAACCCUGAUGCAGCGACGCCGCGUGAGUGAAGAAGUAAUUCGUUAUGUAAAGCUCUAUCAGCAGGGAAGAAAAUGACGGUACCUGAGUAAGAAGCCCCGGCUAACUACGUGCCAGCAGCCGCGGUAAUACGUAGGGGGCAAGCGUUAUCCGGAUUUACUGGGUGUAAAGGGAGCGUAGACGGCAGGGCAAGUCUGGAGUGAAAGGCGGGGGCUCAACCCCCGGACUGCUCUGGAAACUGUACGGCUGGAGUGCAGGAGAGGUAAGUGGAAUUCCUAGUGUAGCGGUGAAAUGCGUAGAUAUUAGGAGGAACACCAGUGGCGAAGGCGGCUUACUGGACUGUAACUGACGUUGAGGCUCGAAAGCGUGGGGAGCAAACAGGAUUAGAUACCCGGGUAGUC
rnacentral:rRNA from 1 species